UGGGGAAUAUUGGACAAUGGGCGCAAGCCUGAUCCAGCCAUGCCGCGUGUGUGAAGAAGGCCUUUUGGUUGUAAAGCACUUUAAGCGAGGAGGAGGCUACUUGGAUUAAUACUCUAGGAUAGUGGACGUUACUCGCAGAAUAAGCACCGGCUAACUCUGUGCCAGCAGCCGCGGUAAUACAGAGGGUGCGAGCGUUAAUCGGAUUUACUGGGCGUAAAGCGUGCGUAGGCGGCUUUUUAAGUCGGAUGUGAAAUCCCUGAGCUUAACUUAGGAAUUGCAUUCGAUACUGGGAAGCUAGAGUAUGGUAGAGGAUGGUAGAAUUCCAGGUGUAGCGGUGAAAUGCGUAGAGAUCUGGAGGAAUACCGAUGGCGAAGGCAGGCAUCUGGCCUAAUACUGACGCUGAGGUACGAAAGCAUGGGGAGCAAACAGG
rnacentral:rRNA from 1 species